rnacentral:misc_RNA from 1 species
GGGACGUUAAACCAACAACCCAAGGGUGCCUCGGAAUGCYUGGUGCGCGACGGGGGCGGAUCUUACUUGCCGCUCACUGGGGCUUCCGCCCCGUCCCGUCGCGGCGGACGCGGUUGGUGCGCGAUGGGGGCGGAUCUUACUUGCCGCUCAAUGGGGCUUCCGCCCCGUCCCGUCGUMGUCGUCGGCCGCGGGGGGUGCGCGAUGGGGGCGGAUCUUACUUGCCGCUCACUGGGGCUUCCGCCCYGUCCCAUCGUCGCCUCCUUUCCGGGGCGCCCUAUUCCAAUUUUUUACUCUGUAGAGAAAACUUGGGCCGGGAGUUCCGGCAAAGAGGGCGGGA